rnacentral:rRNA from 1 species
UACGUAGGGUGCGAGCGUUAAUCGGAAUUACUGGGCGUAAAGCGUGCGCAGGCGGUUCGUCGUGUCCGAUGUGAAAGCCCCGGGCUCAACCUGGGAAUGGCAUUGGAAACUGGCGGACUCGAGUGUGGCAGAGGGGGGUGGAAUUCCGCGUGUAGCAGUGAAAUGCGUAGAGAUGCGGAGGAACACCGAUGGCGAAGGCAGCCCCCUGGGCUAACACUGACGCUCAGGCACGAAAGCGUGGGGAGCAAGCAGG